rnacentral:rRNA from 1 species
AUUGAACGCUGGCGGCAGGCUUAACACAUGCAAGUCGAGCGGAGCCUUCGGGCUUAGCGGCGAACGGGUGAGGAAUGCCUGGGAAUCUGCCUGUUAGUGGGGGAUAACGUUCCGAAAGGAACGCUAAUACCGCAUACGUCCUACGGGAGAAAGCAGGGGACCUUCGGGCCUUGCGCUAACAGAUGAGCCCAGGUCGGAUUAGCUAGUUGGUGGGGUAAAGGCUCACCAAGGCGACGAUCCGUAGCUGGUCUGAGAGGAUGAUCAGCCACACUGGAACUGAGACACGGUCCAGACUCCUACGGGAGGCAGCAGUGGGGAAUUUUGGACAAUGGGCGCAAGCCUGAUCCAGCCAUUCCGCGUGCAGGAUGAAGGCCUUCGGUUGUAACUGCUUUGUACGGAACGAAAAGGUACCUGGUUAAUACCUGGGCUCGAUGACGGUACCGUAAGAAUAAGACACCGGCUAACUACGUGCCAGCAGCCGCGGU